rnacentral:rRNA from 1 species
AGUGAACGCUGGCGGUAGGCCUAACACAUGCAAGUCGAACGGCAGCACAGUAAGAGCUUGCUCUUACGGGUGGCGAGUGGCGGACGGGUGAGGAAUACAUCGGAAUCUACUUUUUCGUGGGGGAUAACGUAGGGAAACUUACGCUAAUACCGCAUACGACCUACGGGUGAAAGCAGGGGAUCUUCGGACCUUGCGCGAUUGAAUGAGCCGAUGUCGGAUUAGCUAGUUGGCGGGGCAAAGGCCCACCAAGGCGACGAUCCGUAGCUGGUCUGAGAGGAUGAUCAGCCACACUGGAACUGAGACACGGUCCAGACUCCUACGGGAGGCAGCAGUGGGGAAUAUUGGACAAUGGGCGCAAGCCUGAUCCAGCCAUACCGCGUGGGUGUAGAAGGCCUUCGGGUUGUAAAGCCCUUUUGUUGGGAAAGAAAAGCAGCAGGUUAAUACCCCGCUGUUCUGACGGUACCCAAAGAAUAAGCACCGGCUAACUUCGUG